rnacentral:rRNA from 1 species
GCAAGUCGACUGGAAUUUCUCUUCGGAGAUUAGUACGGUGGCGGACGGGUGAGUAACGCGUAAAGAACUUUCCCUCUAUACUGGGACAACUAUUGGAAACGAUAGCUACUACCGGAUAUUAUGAGAUCCUCGCAUGGGGAACUCAUGAAAGGCUAUAUGCGCUAGAGGAGAGCUUUGCGUGCCAUUAGGUAGUUGGUAGGGUAAUGGCCUACCAAGCCGACGAUGGCUAGCCGGCCUGAGAGGGUGAGC